rnacentral:rRNA from 1 species
CAGUAGCCGCGGGAAUACAGAGGGUGCGAGCGUUAAUAGGAUUUACUGGGCGUAAAGCGUGCGUAGGCGGCUUCUUAAGUCGGAUGUGAAAUCCCUGAGCUUAACUUAGGAAUUGCAUUCGAUACUGGGAAGCUAGAGUAUGGGAGAGGAUGGUAGAAUUCCAGGUGUAGCGGUGAAAUGCGUAGAGAUCUGGAGGAAUACCGAUGGCGAAGGCAGCCAUCUGGCCUAAUACUGACGCUGAGGUACGAAAGCAUGGGGAGCAAACAGGAUUAGAUACCCCGGUAGUCCCUGUCUCUUAUAA